AACAACCUUGGGGAAUGGGUUCCAGUCUUCACUUGGAUGUAUGUGCUAAAAUACCAGAGUGGAAUACUCAGAAAGAAGCAGGCCUGUGAGGACACAGUGAUAAGACAGCUGUCUACAAGCCAGGAAGAGGGGGUCUCACCAGAAACCAACCUUGAUUCCACCUGGAUCUGGGACUCGUAGCCUCCAGAAUGGUGACAAAAUGGGCCUCAGUUUCUCCAUCUGUGGAUGGCAGUUUUGGAUUAGAUCCGGCAUGGGAAAUUUACCUGGCACGUUGAUCAAGACCACUCAGAGACUGGCUCUGGGGACGAACCAGAGGAAGGAAUGGAAGGAUGGAUCAUCAGUCUCUGCCAAGAUGAUGGCAUUGAGGCUCCAUUGGAGUCCCAGCGGCUUGGGAGGCUGAGGCAGGAGGAUUGUGAGUUCAAAGCCAGCCUCAGAAAAAGUCUCUCAUCCUUAAAAUACUCCCUGUCUUUACCAAAGGCAGGCUUGUUUGAACAGCAGAACAUCAUGGUGCUUUUACAAAUGCUGUGGAAAAAACUGAAUUUCUCAAAUUUGUUAACUUUUUCAUUUAAAAGGUACUCUGAGAUAAGGAAAUUGACAUUCAGAGAGGUUGACUGACUGAAUCAAGGUGACAUGGAGGCAGAGUUGAUACAUGAAUCCAGCUGAGGUGGAAUUUUGGCAGAGGCUUUGGAGCAGCUGUUCAAAUCUGCUAAAACAGCUCACUCAACGCAAAUAUGCAUUGUUUUAAAUUUCUGCUCCUCUGUGGUUUAGUAUAAGCUUCUAUAUAGGAGUAUUUACUUAGGAGAAUUCAGGAGAGGUGUUAGGGAGAGCUAGUAGGAUUAAAUGAGAUGGAAAGAAGAUUGAUGGGUCAUGUUGGAAGGACAAGAUGCCAUGGCCAGGGCCCCUUCCUGAUUUCAGAUGAAAGGAUCUCAAGUCUUUUCUUCUUGGGGUUUCUUUCCUUUCCACUUCCUGCCUUCAGUAUUCUCUAGGGUCAUCUCUUUAUAGCUUGGCUUUAACUUGCAAAAUACUAGUUGAAAUCAUGUUGAGGACUGGGGGUGUAGCUCAGUGGUAGAACUGUUGCCUAGCAUGUGUGAGGCCCUGGGUUUGAACUGAAACAAACCAACCCACCACAUGGAUGAAAGUGGAAGAUACUAUCCAAACAGGAACUAAUUUUUGCGUGGAAGGCUGAAGUGCCUGUUCCAGUGUUAAGCACAUGGACUCUGGCAUCAAAUCCAAGCUCUACCAUUUACUAGCUAUGUGGCUUUGGACAAGGUACUUAUCCUAAGUCUUUGCUGUUAUGUUUCUAAAAUGGCGAGAGUAAUAGUUGCCUCUCACAGGACUGUUGAAAAGAACAAGUAUUUCUUAUAGUGCGUACUUUGGUACUUGGUGCACUGUUCAGUAUGACUUUUAUCAAUUCAAAGACAGUUGGUUCAUCUAGGGGAUAGGGGAUAACUAUAUGAACUUCUAGAGGUUUCUCUGUGCCCUACACUGGAGUCUAUGAGGAGAUUGGAGUCCACCCACUCACACACCCACGAGAGUGGCACAGCACUCUCAGGUAAUUCUAACGCUGUGCUCUUAGUAAUUUACUGGUUAAGUAGUAAAUUAAUAGCAUUACUUUGGCAUUUUAAUCAAUAGGAUUAAGAUGAUCUGAUGGUUAACAGAGUAGUAAUUGCUGCUACACAGAUGGAUGUUGUCCAGUGGAAAACCUGCUCUUCAUGAGCUGGCUGGCUGCCCUCAGACAAGAUUCUUUCCACCCUUUAAGAAAACAACAUUUUCCUCUGAUGACUAAAGCAAUAAAAGCACAUUGAAAAAACACAAUGAAGUUCAAUUAAAAAAUAAAACCCACUUGGAAAUUCCAUUAUCCAGAUACCUACUGUUAACAUACUGGUAGAUUUUUUUUUAGGUUUAUUUUUUCCCUCUGUAGAUCAUAAUCAGUUUUGCUUCCUUCAUUUUCAAAACCAAAGGUUCUGAGUGAGCAUUUCUUCUCAUUAUUAAACCUUUAGAAACACGGUUUUAAAUUGCUACAUAUGCUGUGUGUGGCUGCUUUAGCAUUCAUUUAGCUAUCCCCCUAUGGAUGGCCAUUUAUACUAUUUUCAAUUUUUUAGCUGUUAUAAAUUAUGCUGUGAAGAACCCCCUUGGUGACAAGCCUCUGUUCAUGUCCUAGAAGCAAAAGUGCUGAGUCAAAGGGUAGAAAUAUUUCUGAAGCAGAAGGGCUCUACCAGUGUAAAAGAGCCCCUCCCAUCCCCCAGGACCAGCAACUUGGCUGAAAAUUGAAAAUAAAUUCUUCAUAGUGCCGAGAUUGUUAUAGGCAAGGGCCAAAGGUAGUGGUGAGUAGUGAAAGUUAAAAGAAGGAAGGUGACUGCUUCUACAUUUCCCAUUUCCCCCCACUGACUCAUAUUGCCCUUGGAGCCAUAGACCUUGGGACAUGCUAGGGGCAGAUGGGGCUGUUUUUGUGACAGGUUGUUCAGAAACCCAGUGUUGCUUGCCCUGUACUUCUCUGGGUAUUAAAUGGCUUUGCCGUUGUC